GAUGAACGCUGGCGGCGUGCCUAAUACAUGCCAGUCGAGCGAACAGACGAGGCGCUUGCUCCUCUGACGUUAGCGGCGGACGGGUGAGUAACACGUGGAUCACCUACCUAUAAGACUGGGAUCACUACGGGAAACCGGCUCUAAUCCCGUAUAAUAUAUUGAACCGCAUGGUUCAAUAGUGAAAGACGGUUUUGCUGUCACUUAUCGAUGGAUACGGGCCUCAUUAGCUAGUUGGUACGUUAACGGCCUACCAAGGCAACGAUGCGUAGCCGACCUGAGAGGGUGAUAGGCCACACGGGAACUGAGACACGGUCCAGACUCCUACGGGAGGCAGCAGUAGGGAAUCUUCCGCAAUGGGCGAAAGCCUGACGGAGCAACGCCGAGUCAGUGAUGAAGGUCUUCAGAUCGUAAAACUCUGUUAUUAGGGAAGAACAAAUGUGUAAGUAACUAUGCACGGCUUGACGGUACCUAAUCAGAAAGCCACGGCUAACUACGUG
rnacentral:rRNA from 1 species